KGCCCACUUGUGGGUGGAUUAGUGGCGAACGGGUGAGUAACACGUGAGUAACCUGCCCUUGACUCUGGGAUAAGCCUGGGAAACUGGGUCUAAUACCGGAUAUGACCUUCCAUCGCAUGGUGGUUGGUGGAAAGCUUUUGUGGUUUUGGAUGGACUCGCGGCCUAUCAGCUUGUUGGUGGGGUAAUGGCCUACCAAGGCGACGACGGGUAGCCGGCCUGAGAGGGUGACCGGCCACACUGGGACUGAGACACGGCCCAGACUCCUACGGGAGGCAGCAGUGGGGAAUAUUGCACAAUGGGCGCAAGCCUGAUGCAGCGACGCCGCGUGAGGGAUGACGGCCUUCGGGUUGUAAACCUCUUUCAGUAGGGAAGAAGCGUAAGUGACGGUACCUGCAGAAGAAGCGCCGGCUAACUACGUGCCAGCAGCCGCGGUAAUACGUAGGGCGCAAGCGUUAUCCGGAAUUAUUGGGCGUAAAGAGCUCGUAGGCGGUUUGUCGCGUCUGCCGUGAAAGUCCGGGGCUCAACUCCGGAUCUGCGGUGGGUACGGGCAGACUAGAGUGAUGUAGGGGAGACUGGAAUUCCUGGUGUAGCGGUGAAAUGCGCAGAUAUCAGGAGGAACACCGAUGGCGAAGGCAGGUCUCUGGGCAUUAACUGACGCUGAGGAGCGAAAGCAUGGGGAGCGAACAGGAUUAGAUACCCUGGUAGUCCAUGCCGUAAACGUUGGGCACUAGGUGUGGGGGACAUUCCACGUUUUCCGCGCCGUAGCUACGCAUUAGUGCCCCGCCUGGGGGAGUACGGCCGCAAGGCUAAACUCAAGGAUGACGGGGGCCCGCACAAGCGGCGGAGCAUGCGAUAUCGAUGCAACGCG
rnacentral:rRNA from 1 species